AUUGAACGCUGGCGGCAGGCCUAACACAUGCAAGUCGAGCGGCAGCGGGAAAGUAGCUUGCUACUUUUGCCGGCGAGCGGCGGACGGGUGAGUAAUGCCUGGGGAUCUGCCCAGUCGAGGGGGAUAACUACUGGAAACGGUAGCUAAUACCGCAUUCGCCCUACGGGGGAAAGCAGGGGACCUUCGGGCCUUGCGCGAUUGGAUGAACCCAGGUGGGAUUAGCUAGUUGGUGAGGUAAUGGCUCACCAAGGCGACGAUCCCUAGCUGGUCUGAGAGGAUGAUCAGCCACACUGGAACUGAGAAACGGUCCAGACUCCUACGGGAGGCAGCAGUGGGGAAUAUUGCACAAUGGGGGAAACCCUGAUGCAGCCAUGCCGCGUGUGUGAAGAAGGCCUUCGGGUUGUAAAGCACUUUCAGCGAGGAGGAAAGGUUGGUAGCUAAUAACUGCCAGCUGUGACGUUACUCGCAGAAGAAGCACCGGCUAACUCCGUGCCAGCAGCCGCAGUAACAC
rnacentral:rRNA from 1 species